UACGUAGGGGCCGAGCGUUGUCCGGAGUUAUUGGGCGUAAAGCGCGCGCAGGCGGCUUCGCGCGCCCGACGUGAAAGCCCCCGGCUUAACCGGGGAGAGUCGUUGGGGACGGCGGAGCUUGAGGGCGGGAGAGGUCGGUGGAAUUCCCGGUGUAGUGGUGAAAUGCGUAGAGAUCGGGAGGAACACCUGUGGCGAAGGCGGCCGACUGGGCCGACCCUGACGCUGAGACGCGAAAGCUAGGGGAGCAAACAGG
rnacentral:rRNA from 1 species